AUUUAAUUGAUGGAAACACAAGGGUAAACAGCAAGAUGAAGUAGAACCCUCUAAUGUAUGGUACAAACAGAAAUAUAUAUCGUUAGCAAUCAUGCAUUCGGAAAUCUGCAAAAGUUAUCCAUGUCUUGGUUUGCACCGCAUUUAUUUCAUUUCUUGGUUUGCUUUCAAAAACUACAAUUCCCACAAUGCACGCAUGUGUGAAAUGCUUUUGCGUCACUUUGUUUUAUUCUAAACGUCAUUAAGGCUAAACGUCGUUUCUAGGUAAGCGGAUUGACGGCGUCUGUGUCCGUCGAUAAGAAACUUCUUGUCGAGAAUUUAAUUUGCUUGAUUUGGAAAGCUUCAGUAUGCCAGCGGAGGUCAAGCCAAUGUUGAGAGAAGUUCUUCCCAAACAAGCUCUCUAUGGAGGAUGUGCCCACUAUGGUGCUGUGUAAACCCAAGCUGCUCCCUCUUAAAUCAGUGACCCUGGAAAAGCUGGAGAAAAUGCAGCGGGAUGCACAGGAAACAAUUCGUCAACAGGAAAUUGCUGUGAA